rnacentral:tRNA from 1 species
AGUAGUGUAGUGGAAGCACACACCCCUGUGAAGGGUAUAGCGUCAGUUCGAAUCUGAUCUUUCCACCACCA